AUGGUCUGGGAACCGGCUCCUGUGUCGUUGCACCUGCCGGCGGUGGGCGCAGCACCGAUACCAGGCAGCCCGACCCUGACCUAAAGUGAAGGCCCAGGGCGACGACAGCCCCAGGGUUGACUUUGCAGUAAACAGGUGUGAGCAUUCUAGCAGCCGCUUGAUGGUCAUGUAUUAUACUGCAAACAGGC
rnacentral:snoRNA from 13 species